AGUGGAUGGGGAGCAACCUAGUUGUGCGUGUGUAAAGGUAGUGCCAAGAAAAGCGGUGAUCAUGAUGAAAAUCAAUUCCCGGUACCCGAAACCGACACAGGUGGGCAAGUAGAGAAUACUAAGGGGCGCGAGGUAACUCUCUCCAAGGAACUCGGCAAAAUGACCCCGUAACUUAGGGAGAAGGGGUGCCACCGAGAGGUGGUCGCAGUGAAGAGGCCCAGGCGACUGUUUAGCAAAAACAUAGGUCUCUGCAAACUCGAAAGAGGAGGUAUAGGGGCUGACGCCUGCCCAGUGCCGGAAGGUUAAAGAAGUUGGUCAGUCUUAGGAUGAAGCUAGCGACUGAAGCCCCGGUGAACGGCGGCCGUAACUAUAACGGUCCUAAGGUAGCGAAAUUCCUUGUCGGGUAAGUUCCGACCCGCGCGAAAGGCGUAACGAUCUGGGCGCUGUCUCGGAGAGAGGCUCGGCGAAAUAGGAUUGUCUGUGAAGAUACGGACUACCUGCAUUUGGACAGAAAGACCCUAUGAAGCUUUACUAUAGCUUGGAAUUGUGUUCGGGCUUCCUGUGCGCAGGAUAGGUGGGAGGCGUAGAAGGUAUUCUUGUGGGGAUACUGGAGCCAACGGUGAGAUACCACUCUCAGGAGGCUAGAAUUCUAACUUAAUUAAGGACAGUUUCAGGUGGGUAGUUUGACUGGGGCGGUCGCCUCCAAAAAGGUAACGGAGGCGUACAAAGGUUCCCUCAGACUGGUUGGAAAUCAGUCGAAGAGUGCAAAGGCAGAAGGGAGCUUGACUGCGAGAAGUACAGUUCGAGCAGGGUGGAAACACGGUCUUAGUGAUCCGACGGUGCUGUGUGGAAGGGCCGUCGCUCAACGGAUAAAAGUUACUCUAGGAUAACAGGCUGAUCUCCCCCAAGAGUUCACAUCGACGGGGAGGUUUGGCACCUCGAUGUCGGCUCAUCGCAACCUGGGGCGGAAGUACGUCCCAAGGGUUGGGCUGUUCGCCCAUUAAAGCGGUACGUGAGCUGGGUUCAGAACGUCGUGAGACAGUUCGGUCCAUAUCCGAUGUAGGCGUGAGAAUAUUGAGAGGAGCCUUCCUUAGUACGAGAGGACCGGGAAGGACGCACCGCUGGUGUACCUGUUAUGAUGCCAAUUGUAAACGCAGGGUAGCCAAGUGCGGAGAGGAUAACCGCUGAAAGCAUCUAAGUGGGAAGCCCACCUCAAGAUGAGUAUUCUGGUGUAAGGUCACGGGAAGACGACCCGUAAAUAGGCACGAGGUGGAAGUGCAGAGAUGUAUGAAGCCGAAGUGUACUAAUAGACCGUCGGCUUGACC
rnacentral:rRNA from 1 species